UAUGGUAAUUUGUGCCAGCCGCGGUAAUACGUAGGUGGCAAGCGUUGUCCGGAAUUAUUGGGCGUAAAGGGCGCGCAGGCGGCGUCGUAAGUCGGUCUUAAAAGUGCGGGGCUUAACCCCGUGAGGGGACCGAAACUGCGAUGCUAGAGUAUCGGAGAGGAAAGCGGAAUUCCUAGUGUAGCGGUGAAAUGCGUAGAUAUUAGGAGGAACACCAGUGGCGAAAGCGGCUUUCUGGACGACAACUGACGCUGAGGCGCGAAAGCCAGGGGAGCAAACGGG
rnacentral:rRNA from 1 species